rnacentral:pre_miRNA from 1 species
AAAACGUACAUUAAUUAAUCCUUGGGGCCAUGGGAUAAAAAAAAUACCCCGCAAAAACAAGUUAGGACAUCCUAGAAUGGUUCUAGCAUGAUUACAAACCUUUCACUCUGAUACUAGUUGAAGGGAAAAAUCA